rnacentral:rRNA from 1 species
GACGAACGCUGGCGGCGUGCCUAACACAUGCAAGUCGAACGGAAAGGCCCUGCUAUUGUGGGGUUCUCGAGUGGCGAACGGGUGAGUAACACGUGAGUAACCUGCUCUUGACUUUGGGAUAACUUCAGGAAACUGGGCUUAAUACCGUACAGCAUCCCCUGUUCCAUGGUGGGGGUUGGAACUUUUCGGCUGGUGGGGAUGGACUCGCGGCUUACGAGCUAGUUGGUGGGGUAGUGGCUUACCAACGCUUUGACGGGUAGCCGGCAUGGGAGGGUGGACGGCCACAAGACGACUGAGGGACGGAGCAGACUGGAACAUGAGACAGCAGGGGGAAGUAUUACACAGUGAGAGGGCGUCUGAUGCGGCGGCGCUCGGGGCGUGAAGACGGCCUGCUGGGUGAGAACCGCUGUAGGCUGAGACGAAGCGUGAGUGACGGUAAUGAAUGAAGAAGCACCGGCUAACUACGUG